GGGGCACAAAAGUAAGGAAAGUGCGCAUGCGUACGAAGGCUCGGAAUGGCCAAGGCUUCCAACUUCCGCCCUUAGUUCCUAACUCUAAAUGGCCGUAUGGUGGGGUUGCCAUAGCAACCACCAAGCCGAGAGUCUCAUGGGUGGCUGUUUACGGGCCUUUUUUUGUUCAUCCGGCCUCCUUUAGAGGGCUGCGGUCAGAACCUGUGUCGGGCUUUGAUGGAUAUUACACGGGGAAGCCUGGAUGAAAUUUCAAGGCCAGCAUCUAAAUCAAGAAUCAAUCAUGGAACCAAAGUUUUAAGUACCUCUUUAGAGGUCUUAACACCAGAGCCAGACCCGUUCAAGGUUGACUUUUACAGUGAUCACACAGAAGAUAAAUCAAUUUUUUCUCAUGUGAAUGCAGAGGAAUGUGGAGUGAUGGAACUGGAAAGCUCACAAGAAAUAUCUGAACAAAAAACUAACAGUGGUUUCCAGUUGGUGAUACAAGAUGAAAAUCAGGUUGAAGACUCUUCUGCUGUUGAAGAAGAUGAAGUUUUUGUUAGUGUAUUUCACACACAGAUCAAUUCAGAAAAUUAUGCAUACAGUGGAAGACAAAGCAAGCAAGGUUGUUUAAGUGAAAGUAGAACAAGAAGCUCAAUGAAGAAAAUGGAAAACAUUAAUAAAAAAAGUGAAGCAAGCUGUAAAAGUUCACCUAAUUUUGUUAAAAAGAACAUAGAGAUGGCCAAAGAUUCGGCAAACCAAGUGGUUAUGCUGGAAGAAGAGAAGAAAAGGCUGACAGAGUUGCUCAAAGAUACUGAAGAGGAAACCAGUGAACUUCAAGUCAUUGAGAAAGACACAACUGGAUGGUUAGUACCGGGUGAAGGAUAUACACCUGAACCAGUGGAAUAUCGCCACCUUACAGAAAUUAAUGCUAAACUUGAAGUAGUAACCUCUAAUGGAGAUUUGGCUGCUGUUCAUAAUUCCUGUUCAGAAGUCCCUAGUCAGAUUUAUCAGGAAUCUUUGGCUUAUGCAAAUAGAAAUCUGGAAACAAUUCCAGGGGAAAAGGUCUUAAGAGACACUAAAGAAGAACGUGAUCAGCAAAACCGCCUUAAAGAGAUUGACCAGCAGCUGAAAAUCUUAGAGGGGACUCCUGAUGUACUGCCUUAUCUCUCAGGAGAGCAGCUUAAUGCCCUUCUAGAAGCAUGUAUGCAAAACCCAAGAAGAGAAGACAACCUUGUCCUGACAAAAUCUCAGGGAUCUUUCCUUGAGAGAAUUACUCCCUGUUGUGACCUACUGGAAAACUUCAUUCCAGACUCGAGGAAUGAAAUAUUAGAUGAUGUCCAAAGUGGGACAGUGGUAGAAAACCAAGAGGUGGUUGGAGCCGAACAUGAACAUGCAGAUUUGAAGCAUGUGAUAGAAACCUCUGACUCUAAUCUCAGCAAAAUAUUGAUAGAAUCUCACCUGAGAGAGAAAAAAGAAAAUAACCAAGAAACCCAAGAGGAGACAGCACAUAAUAGUAGCUCUGAAGGCUACUACAUGUCAAAAGCUCUGAGCACAGACAAGCCAAAGAAACCCUCCUUUCUUGAUGAACCUUUUUAUUGUAUCAGCAUGAACAAUGAACUAUCCACAGAUGUCAACAUUCCUAGCAUACCACUGAAAACUGGAGGAGAUGAACUGAAAACUGAAGAUGUGCAUGAAGAGUAAUAUGCUUCCAGUUUAACCAGCACCGUGCCCCAGGCCAAGUCUCUCUGCUUGGUCCAAGAAGCCAUUAGAUUCGUGUUUGGACAGAGGAGCCUUCGCAGCGAUGGUUGAUUCUGUCACAAGAACGUCCUCUCUGCUGGAUCCCAUUGCCACAUGUCGCCGAGCAAGUUGUCCACUCGGACCAAGGAGA